AGAAAGUUUAAAAGGUUAUAACAGCGCAAAAAAUGACGGACCCUGUCCGUCGUUUUUUGCGCUGUUUUAACCUUUUAAGUAGGUUAAC
rnacentral:pre_miRNA from 1 species